GACGAACGCUGGCGGCGUGCUUAACACAUGCAAGUCGAACGGAAAGGCCCUGCGUUUGUGGGGUGCUCGAGUGGCGAACGGGUGAGUAACACGUGAGUAACCUGCCCUUGACUUUGGGAUAACUUCAGGUAACUGGGGCUACUACCGUAUAGGAGCUCCUGCUGCAUGGUGGGGGUUGGAAAGUUUCGGCUGUUGGGGAUGGACUCGCGGCUUAUCAGCUUGUUGGUGGGGUAGUGGCUUACCAAGGCUUUGACGGGUAGCCGGCCUGAGAGGGUGACCGGCCACAUUGGGACUGAGAUACGGCCCAGACGCCUACGGGAGGCAGCAGUGGGGAAUAUUGUACAAUGGGCGGAAGUCUGAUGAAGAAACGCCGCGUGCGGGAAGACGGCCUUCAGGUUGUAAACCGCUUUCGCCUGUGACGAAGCGUGAGUGACGGUAACGGGUAAAGAAGCACCGGCUAACUACGUG
rnacentral:rRNA from 1 species